CGGUGGCUGUGCAGGCGAGGAGAGCUCGGAGCUGGCUCCAUGGGAGAGGGACCUUCGCCUGUCACAGCCUUCCCAGCUGGGAGAAGCAGUGCCGGCUCUCGUCCCAGAGCCCUAUCAGCCAAGCCUGUGGCGAAUUAAUCACUUGCCUUUUAAAUGCCAAUACAGCCCUUUCUGCCUUCUUCCCCCAGUGAUGCGGAUGCGGCGAAGGCGGCAAAUCCUCCGGCUGUGCGUGCCCUCCCUGGACUGCUGCUCCGUCCCCGCCUGUCGUGCUCGUGUGUGUGCGUGGCUGGGAGUGCUGCCUAAGUGCAGCCGGGAAUGAGACAGCUGUGGGGCAGGGGACGGCACAGCUCCAAGGGGUGACACAAGGUGGGGGGAUACCUCCCCCGCACCCACCCGCAGGGCUGCAAGUUGCUUGAAGACAGGGGUCUUUUGUGCCUCCACUUCGCCUCUGUCAUGCCCCGCGUGGAAGCUGGGAGCAGUCGCCCCUCCAGAAGCAGAAAGCGAAGUCGUUCGCAAUGAAUCCAUGGCAUCUUCGAUCGAGCGGUGAGCUGGAGCACCUACUCACAGGCCACUCCUUGAUGUGACUGAAGAGAGGCCUUUCCCAGCACUCACCGAGGAGAACGGAGCCCUGGAUUUACCUCCCGCACACCCAGGCACCCCCAGCACGGGCACCGCGAGAUUCCAGUGACAGAUGGAUCUCUCUCGUACGCACUUGCUCUUUCCCUCUCUGUAUUUUUGUUUUCGACAUGUUUGAUCUGAAGCUCUGAAGCUUCUCAGAGGAAACCAGGGAGAGAAGCAAGAGAAGGAGGAGAACUGAGGGAGCGUGAGCGACAGAAGAGGCAGCCCUGCCUUGUUCUUCCAAAUCACACCGUGGAGGGGCGAGGGAAGACUAGAGAGGGGGAGGA